rnacentral:rRNA from 1 species
AACGAACGCUGGCGGCAGGCUUAACACAUGCAAGUCGAACGCACCUUUCGGGGUGAGUGGCAGACGGGUGAGUAACGCGUGGGAAUCUACCCUUCUCUACGGGAUAGCUCCGGGAAACUGGAAUUAAUACCGUAUACGUCCUGAGGGAGAAAGAUUUAUCGGGGAAGGAUGAGCCCGCGUUGGAUUAGCUAGUUGGUGGGGUAAAGGCCUACCAAGGCGACGAUCCAUAGCUGGUCUAAGAGGAUGAUCAGCCACAUUGGGACUGAGACACGGCCCAAACUCCUACGGGAGGCAGCAGUGGGGAAUAUUGGACAAUGGGCGCAAGCCUGAUCCAGCCAUGCCGCGUGAGUGAUGAAGGCCCUAGGGUUGUAAAGCUCUUUCAGUGGGGACGAUAAUGACGGUACCCACAGAAGAAGCCCCGGCUAACUUUGUG